UACGGGGGAGCAAGCGUUGUUCGGAUUUACUGGGCGUAAAGGGCGCGUAGGCAGCCCUCUUAGUCGGACGUGAAAUCCCCAGGCUUAACUUGGGAACUGCGUCCGAUACUGGAGGGCUUGAGUGCGGGAGAGGGAUGUGGAAUUCCAGGUGUAGCGGUGAAAUGCGUAGAUAUCUGGAGGAACACCGGUGGCGAAGGCGGCAUCCUGGACCGACACUGACGUGAUGACGCGAAGCUAGGGGAGCAAACGGGAUUGA
rnacentral:rRNA from 1 species